rnacentral:rRNA from 1 species
AACUGGCUGAUAAAUAAAUUAUUAAUUGUUUAUGCAAGAACCCUUGAGUGUAGAAGUUUAUUUGAAUACCUGUAACUGUGAAUUUGUGUGUAACUCCACUACAGCUCACAUUUCCCCUCUUGAAAUAACCCUGGCUGCUCAACACGCGACCAAAACUGUGUAGUAAAAGCUUAUACCAAAAGUUGGGUUGCCUAUACCUGUAGUCAUAGUUGUUUGUAGUGUUGCCAGAGGGUACUGCAAACAAACCUGGCUUAACAACCAGGGGUAAUGAUGAAUCAGGGUUUGAUUCCUGAAAGGAAUCCUGAGAAACGGCUACCACAUCAAAGGAAGGCAGCAGGUGUGCAAAUUACCCCCUCCCGACUUGGGGGGGAAAACAAUACAGGACUCUUUCGAGGCCCUGUAAUUUGAAUGAGUACACUUUAAAUACUUUAAUGAGGAUCCAUUGGAGGGCAAGUCUGGUGCCAGCAGCUGUGGUAAUUCCAGCUCCAAUAGCGUAUAUUAAUGUUGCUGCAGUUAAAAAGCUUGUAGUUGGAUCUUGGGAUCGAGCUUGCGAUCUGCCACGAGACGAGCUACCGUCUGUCCCAGCCCUUGCCUCUUGGUGUCCCCUUGAUGCUCUUGAUUAAGUGUCCAGUGGGCCAAAGCGUUUAACUUGAAAAAAUUAGUGUUCAAAGCAGGCCGGUCGAAUGAAUACUUCAGCUAGGGAUAAUGGAAUAGGACUCUGGUUCUAUUUUGUUGGUUUUCGGAACUCGGGCCAUGAUUAAGAGGGGCAGCCGGGGGCAUUGGUAUUGAGCCGCUAGAGGUGAAAUUCUUGGACCGGCGCAAGAUGAACCAAUAUUUGUCAAUAUUGUUUUCAUUAAUCAAGAAACAAAUUCGGAGGUUUGAAGACGAUCAGAUACUGUCGUAUUUCCAAUCAUAAACGCUGCUGACUAGCGAUCCGGCAGUGUUAUUCCCAUGACCCGCUGAGCCACUUCCGGGAAACUAAAGUCUCAACAUGGGAAACCUCGCCCGGGCACAGAAAGGAUUGACAGAUUGAUAGCUCUUUCUCGAUUCUUUGGGUGGUGGUGCAUGGCCGCUUUUAGUUGGUGGAGCGAUUUGUCUAGUUAAUUCCGAUAACCAACGAGACUCCUCUAUUCUCACUAGUUACGCGACCCCCAGCAGUCGGUGCUCAACUUCUUAGAGGGACAAGUGGCGUUCAGCCACACAAGAUCAAGCAAUAACCCGUCUUUGAUUCCCUUAGAUGACCGGGGCUGCACACGUGCUACACUGAACGGAUCAGCGUGUGUCCACCCUUCACCGACAGGUGCGGGUAACUCACUAAACCCUGUUUGUGAUAGGGAUUGAGGAUUGCAAAUAUUUCCCAUGAACGAGGAAUUUCCAGUAAGUGCGGGUCAUAAGCUCAUGUUGAUUAAGUCCCUGUCCUUUGUACAUACCGCCCUUUGCUACUACCAAUUGGAUGGUUUAGUGAGGUCCAUGGACCGGCAGAGCACCAAGAAGACGAUCAAACUUGAAAAGCUAGAGGAAGUAAAUGUUGUAACAAGGUUUCCUUAGGUGAACCUGCAGAAG